GUUAAUAAUAAGGGGGCAGAGAGAUCCUCACUGGGAGACUGAUCCUGGAAGACAGACGCAUGCAAGAUAAAAAGAGGAUUCUCUUGGAACGAUUUGUGAAUCUGUUGUGGAAUUUGUAAAUCCAGAUUGGGGUGCAGUAGAUGGUUCUCUUCACAGACACCCAGCGCUGAGUUGGAUUUGGAAUUAGCUGUGGUUUCACUAGGGUUGGUGUCACAGUAUAAUAGCUCCUGGUGUCAUCUUCAUGGACCUGCCUGAAAUCUGUCUCAUGCACACUAACAUGGGAGUAAGCUAUACAGAU